rnacentral:rRNA from 1 species
CCUACGGGAGACUGCAGUGGGGAAUAUUGCACAAUGGGCGAAACCCUGAUGCAGCGACGCCGCGUGAAGGAAGAAGUUCUUCGGUAUGUAAACUUCUGUCAGCAGGGAAGAAAAUGCCGGUACCUGACUAUGCAGCCCCGGGCAACACCGUGCCAGCAGCCGCGGUCAUACGUAGGGGGCAAGCGUUAUCCGGAUUUACUGGGUGUAAAGGGAGCGUAGGCGGUUUAGCAAGUCAGAUGUGAAAGCCCGGGGCUCAACCCCGGGACUUCAUUUGAAACUGUUGAACUAGAUUGCAGGAGAGGUAAGUGGAAUUCCAUGUGUAGCGGUGAAAUGCGUAGAUAUUAGGAGGAACACCAGUGGCGAAGGCGGCUUACUGGACUGUAAAUGACGCUGAGGCUCGAAAGCGUGGGGAGCAAACAGGAUUAGAUACCCGUGUAGUC